rnacentral:rRNA from 1 species
CGCAACCCUGUCCUUAGUUACCAGCACGUUAUGGUGGGCGACUCUAAGGAGACUGCCGGUGGACAAACCGGAGGAAGGUGGGGAUGACGUCAAGUCAUCAUGGCCCUUACGGCCUGGGCUACACACGUGCUACAAUGGUCGGUACAAAGGGUUGCCAAGCCGCGAGGUGGAGCUAAUCCCAUAAAACCGAUCGUAGUCCGGAUCGCAGUCUGCAACUCGACUGCGUGAAGUCGGAAUCGCUAGUAAUCGUGAAUCAGAAUGUCACGGUGAAUACGUUCCCGGGCCUU